UACGUAGGUGGCAAGCGUUGUCCGGAAUUAUUGGGCGUAAAGCGCGCGCAGGCGGUCCUUUAAGUCUGAUGUGAAAGCCCACGGCUCAACCGUGGAGGGUCAUUGGAAACUGGGGGGCUUGAGUGCAGGAGAGGAGAGUGGAAUUCCACGUGUAGCGGUGAAAUGCGUAGAGAUGUGGAGGAACACCAGUGGCGAAGGCGACUCUUUGGCCUGUAACUGACGCUGAGGCGCGAAAGCGUGGGGAGCAAACAGG
rnacentral:rRNA from 1 species